rnacentral:rRNA from 1 species
GACGAACGCUGGCGGCGUGCUUAACACAUGCAAGUCGAACGGAAAGGCCCUGCUUUUGUGGGGUGCUCGAGUGGCGAACGGGUGAGUAACACGUGAGUAACCUGCCCUUGACUUUGGGAGAACUUCAGGAAACUGGGGCUAAUACCGGAUAGGAGCUCCUGCUGCAUGGUGGGGGUGGGAAAGUUUCGGCGGUCGGGGAUGGACUCGCGGCUUAUCAGCUUGUUGGUGGGGUAGUGGCUUACCAAGGCUUUGACGGGUAGCCGGCCUGAGAGGGUGACCGGCCACAUUGGGAUUGAGAUACGGCCCAGACUACUACGGGAGGCAGCAGUGGGGAAUAUUGCACAAUGGGCGGAAGCCUGAUGCAGCAACGCCGCGUGCGGGAUGACGGCCUUCGGGUUGUAAACCGCUUUCGCCUGUGACGAAGCGUGAGUGACGGUAAUGAGUAAAGAAGCACCGGCUAACUACGUG